UAUCUAUGGUGGUGGUUGUACAUGUGUUUGUUCCUUUGUUUUCUAUGUGUUUCGAAUAAAAUUAAGUGAAUACGGACUUCCACAAGAGCCUUAUUCUUCUCUCUGAUAGUCAGCAGCGGCGUUUUACUGAUAUAUGUGGUAACCAGGACGAUCCGUGUUGGUGGGACGAAGCCAAGUAUAGCAUGACUGGACCUCGGUAGCGGAAGGUGUUCCCUGCUCUCCGUAGGACCUCGGUAGCAGAGACGUAGACACGGCAAGAGUUGCGGAGGAGAGGAGGUUAGGGCGUGGGAGGAGGAGGAGGAGGAGGAGCAGUUAAGCAGGUGUUGCUUGAUCUUGUACCUAAACGAGAAUAAUCUCGGGGAAACCAACUGGAUAGUGACUGUGAAAUCUCUCUAAGCGUUGGAACUUGGAAUGGUCUGGACAACCAGGUACUGUUAAGAAUUGGAGAGGCCUCUGCUAGCAACAUCGUCUACUGCAGGAAUACCCGAACCCCAGUGAACUGAAAUUAAGUGUCAGGGAGUGACACUGAAUCUGGUGUAGAUAACUGGAACAGAUGUCAUUUUAUUAUUAUAACUAUUCAGUAGAUGCACCCUAUUCAUAUAGAACAAGCUCACCAAAGGGGUCAUUAACUUGAAAUUCAAACUUCCAAAGAGCAGGGUGUUCAUUAGGAAGAAGCAAGAGGAAGUAAAGGGAAAUAUAGAAAAGGUAUCACAUAGAAAAAAAAAAACAUAUCCACCCACUCCAAUAUCCUGAAGUUUAUAGAUAAUUGUCUUGUGAUUUACUUAAUCGAAAACAGCACUAAAAUCUAUUUGAAUUACACUGCACUCAAAACCCUUAUCAUUAGUUCUCAGGCGAAAUUCAUUCUUGUUUUAGUGAGUAUUCAAUAUUAUUGAGGACCUAAAUAGUCACACAUUUGGCAAACUUAUAUUUGAGGUUAGGAAAUAUUUCUGUGAAGCCGUGUCUCGACAUUUAAUUUCCAGUAUUGUCCUUGCGAAACACGUUCUUUUUUUUCAGUUAUUUGUAGUAUUAACGGAAAAGUGUAUUAAAAUGAUUCUUAUAUAGAGCAUUUAUAACUCCGACUAGUAUAAAGAUAGUCUACUGCCGGUUGUGUAUGGGCCAAAUUUCCUAUUCAUUACUGAAAUACUAAAUUUGUUGCGUCAAGAUAUUUUGAAAACUUUGAGCUUUGAUUGUCAACAUUCAGUUCAUGGGAGAUGAUUCUGGUGUUUUCACUUGUUCCAGUCAGCCUUCUUUUACUCAUUUUUAUUGCAAGUCACUAACAGGACCUCUGUUCAUAUCUGGCAAUGGUUAAGACGUUGACUUUAGAUGGAAAAGGAGUGAUUAAAUGUAGGGUAAAUAGCUAAAGUUAAUAUUUUGUAAUGAGGAGGUAAUUGGCACAUGUAGGUCUCUGUUUAUGUUUGCAGUUUUAGAGUAAAUAUUUUCGUUGGUCGCGAGAUAGCGAGUUGAAUCCUGUAUGUUUGUGCAUUUGCAGGUGAAUUGCGAGUAAUUUUAGCAUCGUAUCAUUCUUUUGCAUUUUAUACUACAAUUAUUAAAACCAGUGUAUUCCCAUAAAUCUGAUGGAUAUAAGCUGUAAUGUGACCUGUGUAUUUUUGUAGUUAUUUUUUUUUUAGAUUUUGUCAUCAUUUUUACUAUAUUUUUGUAACUCAAAAUGUAAUGAGAUGGACCUUAAGGGUUGAGUAUCCAAAACAUUCUAUAUUUAAGUGAUUAUUUUUCAACUCUUGCCAGUCAUCUUCAAACUGCAUUAACAGUGUUUCAGCUUUUACAGUACUGGAGUAAAUAGGUAUAUUUAGAUAUUAACUGAUAUAUUAGACUAAUAGAAGCAUUAAAUGCAGACGAGCAUAAAGUACUACUUAAUAAACAAAGAUUCUAACAAAUAUUAUACUAAAAAUUGGAUGCAGUGGAAGUGAAACACACACACUAUUCAAGGCUGUUUUCUUAACUACAUGAAAAUAUACCCAGUCAUCCUGAGUUCUCACGUUUUGUGGCACCGCUGAGAGAAAUGAGACAUUUUCAAGAGAAAACGAAGUAUUCGACAUUUUUCAUGACUCGUGGAAAAUGCCAUUGUAAAUGUAUUCUUGAAAAUGCCCCAAUUCCCAACGGUGCCCCACUACAUGGGAACUCAGGAUUACAGGGUAUGUUUUCAUAUAGCUAAGAAAACAGCCUUGAAUAGUUUCAUUUCCACUGGAUCCAAUUUUAGCAUAACAUUUGUUUAACUCUUUGCUUAUUAAGUUGUACUUUAUUUUAUGUGCGUCUGUAUUUCAGCUGCAUUUGAUGCUUCUGUUAGUCUGAUAUCAGUUAAUAUCUAAAUAUACUUAUUUACUCCAGUACUUUAGAAGCUGAAUUCCUGUUAAUGCAGUUUGAAGAUGACUCGGAAGAGUUGGAAACUCUGGUCACUUCAAGUUCUUUUCGUCUUAUGAUUUCUUUUGGGCACUAUGGUAACUAUCGAACAAUGCAUAAAGUAGGGUACAACUUGUAUGUAUAACAACUGGUAUAAAUUGUAAACAUGUAUAACAUUUUUAUGUUAUGAAAAUAAAAUCAC